CUUGUCUGUUUAUGAGCUGCUGGUACUCUGUUAAGUAAACUUAUUAAAGAAUAUAAGAGGAGGAAGUGUGUUUUGGUGUUUCUUGUGUUGACAUCGGUCGUCAUCAUGGCUCAACCUGUUUGGAGGCAUCAAAUCUUUUUGGAGAGGUGCAAAUAGUGGAUGAAAAGAUAACUCACAAGAGGCAGAUGGUGGCUCAAGAUCGUUCCAAGGCUUGCAAAAGAACUGCUGCGCCUGCAAAGUGGCUCACAACAACCAGACUAUGAUCAGCCAGGUUAUCAGGGCUGAAUCUAUUCAUUUUGGAGAUACUGUUUGCAACGCAAGAAACAGGUGGAUCAGCUAACAAACAGCAGUCUCAGGUUUUCAUGAAGCACUUGAGAUGUAGUAAUUUUGGUAUAGCUCCAAUUGGUUUUUAAAAAUGUAAAAUGGCUUGAUAUUGCAAACUGUCCUGCUCA